rnacentral:rRNA from 1 species
CGAAGGUUGGCUAAUCCUGGUCGGACAUCAGGAGGUUAGUGCAAUGGCAUAAGCCAGCUUGACUGCGAGCGUGACGGCGCGAGCAGGUGCGAAAGCAGGUCAUAGUGAUCCGGUGGUUCUGAAUGGAAGGGCCAUCGCUCAACGGAUAAAAGGUACUCCGGGGAUAACAGGCUGAUACCGCCCAAGAGUUCAUAUCGACGGCGGUGUUUGGCACCUCGAUGUCGGCUCAUCACAUCCUGGGGCUGAAGUAGGUCCCAAGGGUAUGGCUGUUCGCCAUUUAAAGUGGUACGCGAGCUGGGUUUAGAACGUCGUGAGACAGUUCGGUCCCUAUCUGCCGUGGGCGCUGGAGAACUGAGGGGGGCUGCUCCUAGUACGAGAGGACCGGAGUGGACGCAUCACUGGUGUUCGGGUUGUCAUGCCAAUGGCACUGCCCGGUAGCUAAAUGCGGAAGAGAUAAGUGCUGAAAGCAUCUAAGCACGAAACUUGCCCCGAGAUGAGUUCUCCCUGACCCUUUAAGGGUCCUGAAGGAACGUUGAAGACGACGACGUUGAUAGGCCGGGUGUGUAAGCGCAGCGAUGCGUUGAGCUAACCGGUACUAAUGAACCGUGAGG